rnacentral:tRNA from 4 species
UCCUCUGUAGUUCAGUCGGUAGAACGGCGGACUGUUAAUCCGUAUGUCACUGGUUCGAGUCCAGUCAGAGGAA